rnacentral:tRNA from 3 species
GCCAGCGUAGCUCAGUCGGCAGAGCGGCGCACUCGUAAUGCGCAGGUCGGGGGUUCGAAUCCCUUCGCUGGCUCCA